AUUGAACGCUGGCGGCAUGCUUUACACAUGCAAGUCGAACGGUAACAGCACUUCGGUGGCUGACGAGUGGCGAACGGGUGAGUAAUACAUCGGAACGUGCCUAGUAGUGGGGGAUAACUACUCGAAAGAGUAGCUAAUACCGCAUGAGAUCUAAGGAUGAAAGCAGGGGACCUUCGGGCCUUGCGCUACUAGAGCGGCUGAUGGCAGAUUAGGUAGUUGGUGGGAUAAAAGCUUACCAAGCCGACGAUCUGUAGCUGGUCUGAGAGGACGACCAGCCACACUGGGACUGAGACACGGCCCAGACUCUUACGGGAGGCAGCAGUGGGGAAUUUUGGACAAUGGGCGCAAGCCUGAUCCAGCAAUGCCGCGUGCAGGAUGAAGGCCUUCGGGUUGUAAACUGCUUUUGUACGGAACGAAAAGCCCUCUUCUAAUACAGGAGGAUAAUGACGGUACCGGAAGAAUAAGCACCGGCUAACUACGUG
rnacentral:rRNA from 1 species